GAGAAAGAUCCAGCUCUAGAAAGAAGAUUCCAGCCAGUAAAAGUGCCAGAGCCAACAGUUGAUGAAACAAUACAAAUUCUAAAGGGACUUCGUGAACGAUAUGAGCUUCAUCACAAACUCCGCUACACAGAUGAAGCUUUAGUUGCUGCUGCACAAUUGUCAUAUCAAUACAUCAGUGACCGUUUUCUGCCUGAUAAAGCUAUUGAUUUGGUUGAUGAGGCUGGUUCCCGUGUGAGACUUCGCCAUGCACAGCUUCCUGAGGAGGCCAGAGAACUUGACAAAGAGCUCAGGCAGAUCACUAAGGAGAAAAAUGAAGCUGUCCGUGGCCAGGAUUUUGAAAAGGCUGGAGAGCUGCGAGACCGGGAAAUGGAGCUGAAGGCCCAGAUAACUGCCCUUAUUGACAAGGGUAAAGAGAGAAGCAAGGCAGAGACCGAAGCAGGAGAAGCUGGCCCGAUUGUCACAGAAGUCGACAUUCAGCACAUCGUUUCAUCUUGGACAGGGAUCCCUGUGGAGAAAGUCUCAACCGAUGAGUCCGACCGCCUCCUCAAGAUGGAGGAUCAACUUCACAAGCGUGUCAUCGGCCAGGACGAGGCUGUCAAAGCCAUAAGCCGUGCCAUUCGCCGAGCUCGUGUCGGUCUCAAGAACCCUAACAGGCCAAUUGCCAGCUUCAUAUUCUCUGGCCCAACUGGUGUUGGCAAAUCAGAGCUCGCAAAGGCACUUGCAGCCUACUACUUUGGAUCCGAGGAGGCCAUGAUCCGACUCGACAUGAGUGAAUUCAUGGAGAGGCAUACCGUCUCCAAGCUCAUUGG
rnacentral:misc_RNA from 1 species